GGUUGGACGUUAGGGGGAAGUUCUUUACUAAGAGAGUGGUUAGGUACUGGAACAGGCUGCCCAGGGAGGUUGUGGAUGCCCCGUCCUUGGAGGUGUUCAAGACCAGGUUGGACGGGGCCCUGGGCAACCUGAUCUAGUAAAUGUGUAUGUUUGGUGGCCCUGCCAGGCAGGGGGGUUGGAACUACAUGAUCCUUGAGGUCCCUUCCAACCCGGGUAAUUCUGUGAUUCUGUGUGUGUGAUUCUGUGUUUUACAAGCGUGGCACUCCUUUGUUUCCUUUAACACGCGGGCUUUCGACUCACAAUAGAAGCGUUCCCGCUGAUUGACACCACAAUCGUGCGUCUGCUGAAGAAAGACUCAGCUGUGUGCAGUGUGGUUUUCACUACCCAGUUCACGCUUUAGAUAAAAUCAUUGUGGAAGUGCAGAAAGCAGCCGGCGGCCCACGCUGCGGACACCGCUGGCACUUAAUAGCACCGUUAUCAGCGGGCGCGGCGUGGGCGGUGCCUGAAAGCGCCGCGUCUCUGCGCUGUGUUACAGCGCCCCCUGCAGGACGAGCGCCAGCACAGCCGGCUGAUCCGAAAUCGCACUCACCCAGCGCUCACUGAGUUACGACGUUUUUGCCCUAUCUGUGUUCAGGACAGGCUUCAUGCUGUUACUGUGAUACUGCUGCUUAUCUAAAUGCACUGCAACAGGCUGCCCAGGGAGGUGGUGGAGUCUCCUUCUCUGGAGAUAUUCAAGACCCGCCUGGACGCCUACCUGUGCGACGUGGUGUAGGGAACCUGCUUUGGCAGGGGGAUUGGACUCGAUGAUCUCUAAAGGUCCCUUCCAACCCCUACAAUUCUGUGAUUCUGUAAAUGACAGUACCAAAAAUACUGAAAUUAAAGUUGACAAUAAUACUGCCAUAUCCUGUGUCUCUCUUCUCAGAACACUUCUUAUGUCUUCUACUGCCUGUUCCUUGUCUUCCAAUGAGGUGGUGGCAUCCAGAGGGUAUCUGUAACAAUGGGAAAAGAGCAGGGAGGAAGAAAAGUUACAUUCAAUUCCUGGUUAAACUGUUCUUUAGUAAAUGCUGGAUCAGACAAGAAAAGAAGGAGUAUCUUGGAGUCCCACAGAGAAGUGAAUGAGUCAAGGAGUGAGAUCCUGACAUCCACUGUUGUGGAAGAAGUAGUAAGGGGAAAUUUAGGCCCCUUGAGAUCUCAUUGUCUGAAGAUAUGGAGUGCAGUUAGAGGCAAUUACAGAAGUGAUAAUAUACUCCAGAUGGGCAUCCAGAGCUGAAAGGGAGGGGCUUGAAGAACAUCAACAUCAUUAACACUCUUUUUCACCAAGAGGAAAAGUUCCACCUGGAAGCUGCAUGAAUGGAAGUGGAAGUAUCCCCUUUGCUGGAUAGUAGAAGCGAAAUGCCCUUUAACAGCUGUUUAUGAACCACCAUUCAUUUUUGUGCUGCACAACUCUGUGACCUCCUUUCAACUGUUUUGAAAAAAAUAAAAAUAAAAAUAAAAAUAAAAAUAAAAAUAAA
rnacentral:lncRNA from 1 species